UUCAACUUUAAAUGACCCAUCAGGAUCAUUUAAAUUUGAGCUUUUUGUACAGUGGCUGAGCUUGUACAGACUCCUGUGUUCAAAGAAGCAACAGGUAGGCCUUAGCUGCUUUUAUGUGGUGCAAAGGAGACAAAGGAAGGAAAGAAAAAUUAGUGUAAAAACCGAAAGGUUGAAAGGCUGGGUAGAUCUACUGAAUAUGUUCUUGACUGCAUGGACCCAGGACAUGUCUUCCGAGUAGAUGAAAGUGAGAAUCAUGGCUAUUCCUUUAUAUGAAUUUUCAUUCACUGUGAACAUAUCUGUAUAGCAGAAACUGGCAAGUGUGGGUAGAAACUGCCCUUAGACACAUUCUCCAUAAGUUUGUUUACAAAUGAAUAAUGACAUACAAGAAGAAUAUAUACCUAGCCUACUUAGGACUCAUUGACUUUGAAAGGCUAUGAGCUUGUGAUGGUAGAAUGCUUACUUUGUAUUGCCACUGCCAUGUAGCCCAAACACCCCUUGGCAUGGCUGAAUAGUGAGCCAUCAAAAGUACAAAAGCCCUUGGUUCAUACACCUGGUUGAUAAGAGGAUACAUGAGUAUGUCUGUGUAGAAUUAAGUAUGGCACCCGCCCAUGUUUCUAUUAAACUGGAGAAAUUCAUUUCUCUGUUAAACCCUAUGGAGACUGUAUCACUCACUUUCUUCUGUUGUGGUGGCACAUCAUGGCCAUGACUGAGGCAGCUUGUAGGUGAACAGUUUAUUUUGGCUUAUGACUCCAGAGAGAUAAGAGUCCACCACAACAGGGAAGUCUCAUAGCAAGUGACAGGUGGAGGAGCCAGAGCAGAAAACUGAGUUCAUGUGCUCAGAGACAGUGGACAGUGAACUAGAUGUGACGCAAGAUUAUAAUACUUAAAAGUCUGUCUCCAGUGACAUGCUUUCUUCAGCAAGGCCACACUUCUAAACAUCCACAAAGAAUGUCCACUGAAAUGUUCUAGAAAGAGACUCUGCUUCUGAGGGCCAGUGGACCAUCCUGCCUUUCUUCAGUUAAUGGACAAGUAAGCAUGAGCACCGGAAUUGUGCAGUUGAGAGUAAAUUAUAGUGAAAGUGGAGUGUCUUCAAGAGCACCAUAAUCAAGUGGGUGAGAAAUACUGGCUUGUAUAUAAAAUUGAUGUGGCACCUACAAAACAAAGUGGUAUUCUACACUGGCCACUUUAAAAGGACAGGUUUUAGCAAUGAAUAGUCUAAAAGAAAAAAAAAAGAACAGAAAUGUUGUUUCAUCUAUUCAUUAAUGAAACAAAUCAGAUUUACAUAAAUAAUAUGUUUUGCAUUUUGUAUAUUUCCAGUUACUUCAAUACACAUAGGCUUUUAUUUCAAAGAUCAGCUUCACUCAUUUCCAAUCAAUACUUUAUCUUCCCCAAAUUUCAAAGACAAAAUUCUUCACCAAAAAAAUCGUGGCAAACAUAGGUUUUUGAAGGACACAAGUCCUCCAAUCUGUUUUAGUUAAAAAUCUAGGAAGAAGGAUCUCUGGGCUUCUCAGAGCUCUCUACCUAAAGACUACAUUCCAAGUUUCAUUGCAGACUUAAAAUAAGGCACCGCAGUGAAGCAUAGAGGUAACCCCAGCACCGGUGACACAUUUCCAUAAGUUUCAUUGGUGGUGGAUAUUGACAAGCAGUUUGAUGAGCUUGUCAAUACCUUCCAGGUCAUUUCACAACUCUAGUACAAAGAUAAAGAGCUAAUUUUCCCAAUUUCCUCUGAAGCUAGCAUGUCAAUGGAAUCAACCAAAUGAACCCCAAUAUGUCAGCAUUGAAAGUAAAAGCAAAAACCAUGAAGAAUUAGUGUUGUGACAGGCUAUCUCCUGGAGAAACAUGGUAGCAUUCCCUGGCUCUUUGAAAAGCUGUGAACUGGACAAAGAGAGUUUAAUACCAUGUGUUCUGGGACACUGACUACAAAGCAGCUGCAAUGGUAUUUCUGCUAGAGCAUUCUAGCUGCCCAGUUGUUGAUUUGUCAUUUCUGGCUCUAUUGUUCACUGUUUAUACUAACAGUCUAGAUUCUGUUGGAACAACUUUGAGCUCUCUAAUGACCCUCAUUUUCUCUCCUUGUAUCCCUUCACCCUCCAGCAUGGCCUAGCAGUCAAAACAGUCCAUCCUUCCUUUAUUAGAUUGAAUGAAUUUUGUAGCAUCUCUUCUUUGUAUUGUACGUGGCUAGGAUGAAGAGUUAUGAAAGAAUUUAACCAAGGCAGGUAUCACUACAAAAAUUAAGUGUAUUUAGGUUCCCACCAUGAAACACCCAGCAUGCACAUAAGGGCCUUCCUGUUGGUCAGUGUUUGACACUGGCUUUAUAGGGCUUUGGUUCAGUAGUACUAGAUGAUGGUUCCUUUGAUUGAUGGAGAUCUAGCCAUGGCAUUCCAUUUUGCUCCUGAUUGGCAUUACAUGAAGCUCCUGGAUUUUGUUGUUUGUUGGUUUUAUGUUAUUAGACUUUCCUAAACUAGGCUUACCCUAUAGAAAGUCUCUGACAGGGAUCUCUUCCUUUUUGUAUUUUCAGUAUGAGUCUUCUCUCCGAAUUUCCCAGAGGACCCACUUUUACUGCAUCCUUAAAGUGGACUGAGUGGGUCAAAGAAGAUAAGAGCCUACUGAGAAUUUAACUAGCUUGCUUGGUUAUCUAAUAUAUUGAACACAAAAUUUCCAUGAAAAUGCAAAUUAUGAACUGACAAUAACUUUGUGUAUAUUCUUAAGAUCCAAAGUCAUAGGAAUCACAGAACUCUUCAUGGAGCCACCAUUGAGCUGCUCAUAUACAAAUGGGAAGUACAAGAUGCCUAGGAAUCCAGAGCUUUUAGUUCACCACAGGAAGACAAAACUGAUUUCCACGGGAGAAGCUGAAAUCAUACCGAUGCCAGGCCGGCUCUGACUUUGGCCUCUAGUGGUACUCUGCUUUCAUUCACAUUUGCUCACCUAAUCUCUCUGCAUCACUGACCUGGGUGUCACUUCCUCAUCAUUUUGUAUGUUUACUAAGGUUAAACAUGUUGCUGAUUAUUUUCCAAAAUUCUUCUUCAAAUACUUCUCCAUUACCAAAAAAAAAUAAUAAUAAUAAUAAAAUAAAAGAAAGAAAGAAAGAAAGAAAGGAAGAAAGAAAGAAAGAAAGAAAGAAAGAAAGAAAGAAAGAAAGAAAGGAAAGUCUCAAAACCCUCCCAAUAUUGCCCAUAGAAAAUUCUGCAUUUAGGCAAAAGUUUGAAUAUGACAGUAAACAGGAAAAAUAUUCUUUUUAAAAAACCAUCUAUUUAUUACUAUAUGUAAGUACACUGUAGCUGUCUUCAGACACACCAGAAUAAGGUAUCAGAUCUCACUACGAAUGGUUGUGAGCCACCAUGUGGGUGCUGGGAUUUGAAUUCAGGACCUCCAGAAGAGCAGUCGGCACUCUUAACUGCUGAGGUAUCUCUCCAGCCCAGGAAAAAUAUUCUUAUUCUGUUCAUCCUCUAGUCACUACUUUUCUAAGAAGCUUUACUGACUGCAAUGUGGAACUUGAUUCUGUCACAAUUUUCUCUACUUGCAUGCAAAUCAAUGUGUAGCUUCCUCAGAUCCAUUCAAUUAGUAUGCUCCAAAGCCAUAUAUGUGUCUGUCUCUCAAGCCAUCUCAAUUAGAGUCACCAAAGCUAUUAGGUACAUGUUUAAAUUUUUGUGAGUCAUGUAUCUGACAAAUCCUAACCUGUGUCUCUUCCUACGUGCCUUACAAUGAUGUGUACUAAGACAUCAAGGCAUACCAAGAAUUCAUGCACAGAGGAGAAGAUUAAAAUGCAUAUGUGGUUGUGGAAGGAACCCAGAGCUGUUGAAAAACAAGCUAGCAAAGCACUGCUUGAGUCACAGACCUACCAAUGACCUGGGGUUCUGGAAGCUUUCACAUGUCGAGAGCCUCAUGCAUGAGAAACUGCCUGAGUUCAGGCUUCUGUGUGCACUGUGCCAAUUCCAAAGCCGAAAAUGUCAUUUCCUCUGCAAGGAUAACGGUGUUAUACACAUUGAAGGAGACGAGAUCACAGAAAGUCCUGAAAGUCAGGCUUUCAUAAAACUCCUUGGGAUUUGUGUGACAGAACAGCAUUGAGCAAAUCAGGCCUGAUAGAUAAAUAAUCGUUACAUGUAAAGUCUGAGUCCAGAGUUUCCCAAAGUAAGUCAGAGGCAGCAAGACAUUUUUCCCUAGAGUUCUUACCACAGUAUCAUAUUAUAAAAUAUUAAGAAGCAUAAAGGCAGUAUUGGAAAUGGACACAUAUUCAACCAGAGUUAUCUCCUUUUGAGAUGUUAUUAAGAUACAGGGAGAAGAUAGAGUCCAAGACAACAACAUCAAUAUAGCCAUAACAACAAAUACACAGACCACCUCUUGGUGAAUACAAGAUAUAAAAUAGAUUCUGUCUAAGGAUGGCCUGAGAAACAAGCAUUGUCUAGUGUUAAGCAACUAUCUGGUCAGAAGUAUAAAAAUAAACAACUGUGCCAAACGUAUUAUAGAAACAGACAUGUUUAGCCCAAGUUUUACAUUUCAGAGUCUGGGGAGGCAAGGCAGCUGAAAGGGCAGAGUGCACAGAUAACAUAUAUUACACUCGCAUAUGCACACAAACACACACACACUCCAUGUGUGCACGGGGAAAUUAACUCAGAGCCUCUGCAAGAGCAGCGAGUGCUCUUAACCACGGAGCCUUCUCUACAGCCCAGUGAAUGUUUUGUUCCUAUUUUAAUAAUAGGAGUAAUAACAAAUAAAUUGCUUCAUAAAGGAGCAAUAUGGGUAACAGAAAAUAGAAGAGUGUUUUUGUUUUCAUGUCUAGCUCAUCAGAUGAGAGGUUAGCUCUCACAUUUCCACCCAGGUGUUAACAUCUGCUGAAUGCCUUAGAGAGCCAGCAAGAGCAGAUUUGGUUGAGUUUCCUCCCCCACAAUUUCCUGAUUUAGACUGAAGUGCUACAUGCACAGGGGGAUUGUUUAAUCCACCUUUCUUUAGAGAAGGUCAGAAAGAAAUGUUCUCAUCUGCCUUUUCCUAGUUCUGUCAUACCAUGUAACGUUGCUUAGACUUUCUGUAACUGUAACGUUUAACUCUCUUCCACAUAGAGUUGUAAGCUUACAUUUUCAAAAAUAGCAAUUUUUUUUUUGUUGGUUAGAAACCAAUUAAAAUGUAGCUUUAGUCUGAUUUUAAAAUACUGUAUAAUAGCUGAGCAAAGAUAUGCUCUAUAGGAUAACCAGUUCAUCAUGGUCUACAAUGUAUUCCACCUAAACACAAUUGCUCAUAAGCUGAAAAUUAAGUUUUUAACAGCCCACACUCCUUUCUUGUCAGACUGAGCAUUGAUGGGAAAUUAACAGAGCAAUGCAUGAUGAAUUAUUUUCAACUUUUCUGGGGAUUUCGUUUUUCUCCUCUCAACCCGAAAGACCCUGAAGCAGGUGACCUAUAAUAACUUAUAGGUCCUUGAGAUGCUUGCAUACCUGUUUUGGUUAUUACAGAAAGACACACUGUUCAGUAGACACGGUAAGCAUGAAGGGACAAAGGAGACCAUAGUGUUUGAACUUACAACUCUCCACUCACUUUCUCCUAGCCAGCAAGGAGUUAACCACUACCCAGAGCACUGUGAUCUGUUCCAUGACAAGCUGCAAGCCACUGCCUUUUUUAGUUGUGGCUUCUAGAUCUUUAUCCCUGCCUAAAACCAUCCCUCUUAGUCUCUGACUCUUAAGCUUAUUUUCUACCAAUUUUCUGUUGUUCAUCUCUCCAACUGAAAUGAAGAUUAAAGAUGCAAGAGAAUCCUCCAAAAUCCAAGAAUAUCACGUCAAUCUUAAAAACAUCAUUUGCCAUUGUAAUUUGUUCAUUGAUUUAAAUAUAACUGACAGCCUAGCUAGUGUAGUCUCCAAUAUUAAAGAACAAUUACAAGCCCAAGACUCAUGCAAUACAUUCUUGUUCAAACACACACACACACACACACACACACACACACACACACACACACACAUAUA